ensembl:lncRNA
CUUUCAAUCUCGAUCUCUCCACUUUAAAAGCUUUGGGAAAAAAACAGAAUAGCUUUUAAUGAAAUAGCAGCUACUGGAACACCAGUAGCUCUCUUUCCUCCCAGAGAUGCAACAGGGAAUAUAAUUUAAUUUGAUUAAUUCAUAGCCUGUAUGUCCUCUUUCCUAUUUUUAUAUGUACAUAUUUUUCCCUUUUCUAUCCCCCUUACUUUCUUUUGGCACUUGCAUUUAUCAGCUAUUUGAGAACAAUUCCAAUGCUUUUAGCAGGAAGCGGUGAGCAGCAAGAGAACUACCAGAACAUUGGUACCUUGACUUCUGAUGUGUGAUGGAGGGAAACGUUUGGAUCUUCUCAGGAGGAUGCAAAUGAAAGCAUGAAGACUUCAGACAUCACAGAGGCUCAGAAAAAACUCAGAAAAAGACAGAGAAUGAGAGAACAGAAGAAGUUGAAGCAGCAGAAUCUUCUUCUAUGAGAUAUUCUUUUUGAAAUUUAUGCAAAGAGAAUGCAGCUUUGUAAAGGGAGCUGAGCAUAAUCCCAAACACUGAUGAGAAUGCUUGGACAAUGAAGGUAACUGUUAAUUAGUGUGGAAAACAGCAAAAAAGACCUGCCAGGAGGAUUUCAGAACCCACCAGACUGCAGCCUAACAGUUAGGACAUGCUUGCGUGAGUUUAACUGUUCUUGGUUAAGAGACAGACUUAAAAUCUCUGACUCUUGGAUUAAAAAAAAAAAAAAAAAAAAAAAAAAAAAGAAGAAGAAAAAGAAGAAAAAGAAAAAGAAAGACCGGAUAAAAUGGAAAUAGAAACAAAACACUUCAAUUUGCUGAGAAUGAAAUCUGUGCAAACACUUUUUGUAAUCCUCAACUAGAUUCAGAGAAAUGAGUGGUUUUUAAACCCUGACAGUGUAUAAAUAUAAAUUACAUGCUUAGCUGCUCAGUGCCAUCAAAAUGUGCAUGGUUCUGGGCAUACCCUGAAGGAG